rnacentral:rRNA from 1 species
UGAGGAAUAUUGGUCAAUGGACGCAAGUCUGAACCAGCCAUGCCGCGUGCAGGAUGACGGCUCUAUGAGUUGUAAACUGCUUUUGUACGAGGGUAAACGCAGAUACGUGUAUCUGUCUGAAAGUAUCGUACGAAUAAGGAUCGGCUAACUCCGUGCCAGCAGCCGCGGUAAUACGGAGGAUUCAAGCGUUAUCCGGAUUUAUUGGGUUUAAAGGGUGCGUAGGCGGUUUGAUAAGUUAGAGGUGAAAUUUCGGGGCUCAACCCUGAACGUGCCUCUAAUACUGUUGAGCUAGAGAGUAGUUGCGGUAGGCGGAAUGUAUGGUGUAGCGGUGAAAUGCUUAGAGAUCAUACAGAACACCGAUUGCGAAGGCAGCUUACCAAACUAUAUCUGACGUUGAGGCACGAAAGCGUGGGGAGCAAACAGGAUUAGAUACCCUGGUAGUCCACGCAGUAAACGAUGAUAACUCGUUGUCGGCGAUACACAGUCGGUGACUAAGCGAAAGCGAUAAGUUAUCCACCUGGGGAGUACGUUCGCAAGAAUGAAACUCAAAGGAAUUGACGGGGGCCCGCACAAGCGGAGGAACAUGUGGUUUAAUUCGAUGAUACGCGAGGAACCUUACCCGGGCUUGAAAGUUAGCGACGAUUCUUGAAAGAGGAUUUCCCUUCGGGGCGCGAAACUAGGUGCUGCAUGGUUGUCGUCAGCUCGUGCCGUGAGGUGUCGGCUUAAGUGCCAUAACGAGCGCAACCCUCGUGGCCAGUUACUAGCAGGUAACGCUGAGGACUCUGGCCAGACUGCCAUCGUAAGAUGCGAGGAAGGUGGGGAUGACGUCAAAUCAGCACGGCCCUUACGUCCGGGGCUACACACGUGUUACAAUGGGAGGUACAGAAGGCAGCUACCCGGCGACGGGAUGCCAAUCUCCAAAGCCUCUCUCAGUUCGGACUGGAGUCUGCAACCCGACUCCACGAAGCUGGAUUCGCUAGUAAUCGCGCAUCAGCCACGGCGCGGUGAAUACGUUCCC